rnacentral:rRNA from 1 species
AGCGAACGUUAGCGGCGGGCCUAACACAUGCAAGUCGAACGCGAAAGGUCUUCGGACUGAGUAGAGUGGCGCACGGGUGAGUAACACGUAGGUAAUCUACCUUGGCGGGGAUAACGUUCCGAAAGGAGCGCUAAUACCGCAUAAGACCACGGAGUCUCCGGACGCUGUAGGGAAAAGGUGGCCUCUUCUUAGAAAGCUACCACCGAAGGAUGAGCCUGCGUCCCAUCAGCUAGUUGGUAAGGUAAUGGCUUACCAAGGCGAAGACGGGUAGCUGGUUUGAGAGAAUGAUCAGCCACACUGGCACUGGAACACGGGCCAGA